rnacentral:rRNA from 1 species
UUUUGGUUAAGUUAAUAAGGGCGCACGGUGGAUGCCUUGGCACUAGGAGUCGAUGAAGGACGGCACUAACACCGAUAUGCCCCGGGGAGCUGUAAGUAAGCUUUGAUCCGGGGAUUUCCGAAUGGGGGAACCCACUAUCUUUAAUCGGAUAGUAUCUUCACGUGAAUUCAUAGCGUGUUGAAGACAGACGCAGGGAACUGAAACAUCUAAGUACCUGCAGGAACAGAAAGAAAAUUCGAUUCCCUGAGUAGCGGCGAGCGAAACGGGAAGAGCCCAAACCAAAGAGCUUGCUCUUUGGGGUUGUAGGACACUCUAUACGGAGUUACAAAAGAAUGAACUAGACGAAGCGACUUGGAAAGGUCCGCGAAACGAGGUAAAAGCCCUGUAGUCAAAAGUUCAUUCCCUCCAGAGUGGAUCCUGAGUACGGCGGAACACGUGAAAUUCCGUCGGACUCCGGGAGGACCAUCUCCCAAGGCUAAAUACUACCUAGUGACCGAUAGUGAACCAGUACCGUGAGGGAAAGGUGAAAAGCACCCCGGAAGGGGAGUGAAAUAGAUCCUGAAACCGUGUGCCUACAAGUAGUUAGAGCCCGUUAAUGGGUGAUAGCGUGCCUUUUGUAGAAUGAACCGGCGAGUUACGAUUACGUGCGAGGUUAAGUUGAGAAGACGGAGCCGCAGCGAAAGCGAGUCUGAAUAGGGCGAAUUAGUACGUGGUCGUAGACCCGAAACCAGGUGAUCUACCCAUGUCCAGGGUGAAGGUGAGGUAACACUCACUGGAGGCCCGAACCCACGCACGUUGAAAAGUGCGGGGAUGAGGUGUGGGUAGCGGAGAAAUUCCAAUCGAACCUGGAGAUAGCUGGUUCUCUCCGAAAUAGCUUUAGGGCUAGCCUCGUGAUUGAGAAUACCGGAGGUAGAGCACUGUUUGGACUAGGGGGGCAUCUCGCUUUACCGAAUUCAGACAAACUCCGAAUGCCGGAUAUUUAUACACGGGAGUCAGACUGCGAGUGAUAAGAUCCGUAGUCAAGAGGGAAACAGCCCAGACCACCAGCUAAGGUCCCCAAGUAAUCGUUAAGUGGAAAAGGAUGUGGCGUUGCUUAGACAACCAGGAUGUUGGCUUAGAAGCAGCCAUCAUUUAAAGAGUGCGUAAUAGCUCACUGGUCGAGUGACGCUGCGCCGAAAAUGUAUCGGGGCUAAACGAUUCACCGAAGCUGUGGAUGCAUACUUUGAGUAUGCGUGGUAGGAGAGCGUUCUAACAGCGUUGAAGUCAGACCGGAAGGACUGGUGGAGCGAUUAGAAGUGAGAAUGCCGGUAUGAGUAGCGAAACAUGGGUGAGAAUCCCAUGCACCGUAUGACUAAGGUUUCCUGAGGAAGGCUCGUCCGCUCAGGGUUAGUCGGGACCUAAGCCGAGGCCGAUAGGCGUAGGCGAUGGACAACAGGUUGAUAUUCCUGUACCACCUCCUCACCGUUUGAGAAAUGGGGGGACGCAGUAGGAUAGGGUAAGCACGCCGUUGGUUGCGCGUGUUCAAGCAGUAAGGCGUGUAUGUAGGCAAAUCCGCAUACUAUAACGUUGAGCUGUGAUGACGAGCUCGUAUGAGCGAAGUUCCUGAUUUCACACUGCCAAGAAAAGCCUCUAUCGAGGUGAGAGGUGCCCGUACCGCAAACCGACACAGGUAGUCGAGGAGAGAAUCCUAAGGUGUGCGAGAGAACUCUCGUUAAGGAACUCGGCAAAAUGACCCCGUAACUUCGGGAGAAGGGGUGCUUCUUUGGGUGCAUAGCCUAGAGAAGCCGCAGUGAAUAGGCCCAGGCGACUGUUUAGCAAAAACACAGGUCUCUGCAAAACCGUAAGGUGACGUAUAGGGGCUGACGCCUGCCCGGUGCUGGAAGGUUAAGAGGAGCGGUUAGCGCAAGCGAAGCUGUGAAUUGAAGCCCCAGUAAACGGCGGCCGUAACUAUAACGGUCCUAAGGUAGCGAAAUUCCUUGUCGGGUAAGUUCCGACCCGCACGAAAGGCGUAA